rnacentral:tRNA from 1 species
GGACAUUUAGCUCAGUUGGUUAAGAGCAAUACCUUGACAGGGUAUAGGUCAUCGGUUCAAUUCCGAUAAUGUCCA